UGUUAAAAAUUUCAUCUAUUUCUACUGUUAAAAACUGGUACAUGUAUGUCAGCAUAAGAUAUAUGUGACAUAUCACGUGUCAUUAUCUGAUUAUUCAUUCUAUUAACCGACAUCGAGGUGCCAAACCUUCCCGUCGAUGUGAGCUCUUGGGGAAGAUAAUCACACCAAUUUUUAACAGUGCAAAUGGAUGAAAUUUUUAUUA
rnacentral:pre_miRNA from 1 species